rnacentral:lncRNA from 1 species
CCACCCACAGCUCCUCCAUCCGACAAUCGCUGCUCCACAGCCCCCCUCUCUCCCCUGCCUACUACCCAUGGCUCCUCCUCCGACGCCACUCGUGGCUCUUCUAUCUACCCACUGCUCCUCGCACCCUUCCAAUCCCUUGCUCGUGGAUCCUCUGCCCUCAAUCUCCCCCUCCUCCCUCCCUCGACGUCUGCAGAUCCUCCACCCUCAGGCUCUCAUUUCGACAUCUGUGUCUCCUCCAUCUCCCUCCACUUGCAGCUUCUCCACGU